rnacentral:rRNA from 1 species
CCCUUAGAUGUUCUGGGCCGCACACGCGCUACACUGAAGGAGGCAGCGUGUACUCCUGGAUCGAAAGAUUUGGGUAACCCGCGAAGCUCCUUCGUGCUAGGGAUUGAGGUUUGCAAUUAUCCUUCAUGAACGAGGAAUUCCCAGUAAGUGCAAGUCAUAAGCUUGCGCUGACUACGUCCCUGCCCUUUGUACACACCGCCCGUCGCUACUACCGAUUGAAUGAUUUAGUGAGGACUUCGGACUGGGACCGAUGCGGCUUUCGGGCUGCGUCGGUAUUCUGGAAAGAUGUCCAAACUGUAUCAUUUAGAGGAAGUAAAAGUCGUAACA